ACGGGUGAGUAAUACGUGAGUAACCUGCCCUUGACUCUGGGAUAAGCCUGGGAAACUGGGUCUAAUACUGGAUACUACCUCUCAUCGCAUGGUGGGUGGUGGAAAGGGUUUUACUGGUUUUGGAUGGGCUCACGGCCUAUCAGCUUGUUGGUGGGGUAAUGGCUCACCAAGGCGACGACGGGUAGCCGGCCUGAGAGGGUGACCGGCCACACUGGGACUGAGACACGGCCCAGACUCCUACGGGAGGCAGCAGUGGGGAAUAUUGCACAAUGGGCGCAAGCCUGAUGCAGCGACGCCGCGUGAGGGAUGACGGCCUUCGGGUUGUAAACCUCUUUCAGUAGGGAAGAAGCGAAAGUGACGGUACCUGCAGAAGAAGCGCCGGCUAACUACGUGCCAGCAGCCGCGGUAAUACGUAGGGCGCAAGCGUUGUCCGGAAUUAUUGGGCGUAAAGAGCUCGUAGGCGGUUUGUCGCGUCUGCUGUGAAAGCCCGGGGCUCAACCCCGGGUCUGCAGUGGGUACGGGCAGACUAGAGUGCAGUAGGGGAGACUGGAAUUCCUGGUGUAGCGGUGAAAUGCGCAGAUAUCAGGAGGAACACCGAUGGCGAAGGCAGGUCUCUGGGCUGUUACUGACGCUGAGGAGCGAAAGCAUGGGGAGCGAACAGGAUUAGAUACCCUGGUAGUCCAUGCCGUAAACGUUGGGCACUAGGUGUGGGGGACAUUCCACGUUUUCC
rnacentral:rRNA from 1 species